GCCGAGUGUGGUGGUGCACACCUGUAAUCCCAGCUACUUGGGAGGCUGAGGCAGGAGAAUCACUUGAACCUGGGAGCCAGAGUUUGCAGUGAGCCAAAAUGGUGCCACUGCACUCCAGCCUGGGUGACAGAGUGAGACUCUGUCUCAA
rnacentral:SRP_RNA from 1 species